rnacentral:lncRNA from 1 species
GGUCCUCGGGGACCACCAGGGGAGCAGGGCAGGAAGGUGAGCGGGGCAGGGACCCAAGGGAUGCUCCUGCCAUGCCUUUGGCAGAGAGAAGGGGGUUCUGGGUUCUGUGCCAGCACCCAGGAUGUCCCCCAGAGGUCCUGCUGCCCCUGACCCUUGGUUUCUCCUAUACCAGGGAGACCGUGGGGCACCGGGCGAGCUGGGAGAGACGGGCGAGAAGGGAGACCGCGGUGUGCCGGGCCCAGAGGGUGAGAAGGUAGGUGCAUGGCAUGGUGGAGUGAUGCCUACGCUGCCCUGGGCAGGAUGCCCACACACCUUCCUCUUCCUCCUCUCCUGCAGGGUGAGAUGGGAGCCCCAGGGCACCCAGGGCCAUCAGGCAGAGAGGGAGCUCCAGGACCAACUGGCCCCCGAGGGGAGAAGGUGAGUUCAAAGUGGGGUCCCAGUGGGGUGGCAGGGGUCUGUUGGGGAAGGACCUGGCAGUGACACCUGUCUCUCUGCAGGGCGAUCCAGGACCACCUGGCAGGCCAGUAAGUGAUGCUGCCCACCUCUGCCUGCCCCAGCCCCAGGACAGGGAGCCACGGGCAGUGCCCAGCAUGGUCUCCUCUGCUUCUCCUCCAGGCUCCCAGCGUGGCUGGUGUUGGAGAGAAGGGUGACAGAGGUUUCCCAGGACCAGAAGGACCUCCCGGCCCCAAGGGUGAAGCAGGAGAUAGAGGUGCCAGUGGUCCCCCUGGCCUGAGCAUCCCAGGGCCAGCUGGCCCCAAAGGCGAGCAGGGCGAUCGGGUGAGUCUGGGGGCACCCUGGGGACACCAGCUCAUGGCCCUGCUCCCUCUCCUGCCAAGGGGUCACCGAGGUUCCCAGUGA